GGCGGGGACGGCGCUGCCUGCUCUGGAAGAAGUCACGGCCUGCCCCUCCUGCAGCCUGCGGUUCCUGUCCUGCAGAGCGGGAGCGUCUGGGUCAAAGAACGGAGGGAACCCGCAGGGUCUGUGAGAGAACGUUCGGUGAAUUAUAGAAAAUGGGAGGCAAAUGGGUACUGACCCCUGGUUAGUCACAAGAAGUCACAGAGAAUUGGAAAAGAAUGCAAGUCCACCAGCCUAUAACCUGGCAUCCUAUUCCAUGGACCAUGUUUUUCUCCCAGUCUGAAAGAAACUCAGUUCCCAGUGAUCAGUGCCUGUGAACCUCAGAUCUUGUGCUGACAGAGAUGAGAGUCUGAAUGUUGCUCUGCUUGCAGUCCUCGUGGCAUGGCCCUUGAUUCAUAAGCUGGGCUGAGGGUGCUGACCAAAUGCAACCAGUGAUGUUGCAGCCUCUAACAUCCCGAGCAAAGCAUUUACCACUUUCUCCACCUUUCAGGCAAGCAAUCACAGAUGAAUCCCCCUGUACACAGUACUACCUGCAUAUAUCGUAAUUCUUAUCACUCCCUCACUGCAGUCUCUCCCCACCUCAUGCUGGGUAAAUUUUUUUUUGACAUUUUGAGGGUUAUUGUUAUUAAGUUCUGCAGGUCUUCUGGGAGGUGAGAGGAAACGUAACUGUUAUUUUCAGUGGAGUUAAAUGCAGGAAGGACAUAAUGGGAUGGAGUUUUAGACUGUCAUUCUUUUACGCUGCUGAUGGUCAGUGUGUUACUGUAUUUUUACAAAGCUCAUCCAUGACCAGAAUGGUGAAGCUAGUAACAAGUUGCAUUGCCUUGUCAUACUCUUUAAGAACAAGUUUCGUCUUUCCUGCAGUAUGCAGCUUUCAUCUUUGUGGGAUGUCUUCCUCCCUGAAUCCUUAACUGUGAAGGACUAGCAGAUGGAAAGGCAAGAACUUGAGAACAACCUGGAUCCAGCUCCUGUGAUGAAAGAAAUCGCUGCCAAGUUGACAGGAGCAUCCUGGUGCACAGGUCCUGCUUACAACACAAGAGCCUCCCACGGCUGUGUGCCCUGCACACUCAUGCCAUUCCAGCACCCAGCACCAAGCCUGGGUGCCAACAGCAUGACUGCGCCAGAGUUCGGGCCAGUCUUUCACCACCAAAAGCUGGCACAAUGAUUCAUGAUCGCCACACUGAUCAGAAGUGUGGAGACAGGAGACAGAGGAGCUGUGUACCAGGUGCCCAAUGGGAAGAAGUUUCCUAUGUGUGCGAAUAUCUAAAAUAAUCUUUCGAUUCCUUGUUAAAGUUCUUCUUUGCUCUGAUACCUAAAACCCCCAUGACAACAGUUAAGACUGUUGGAACUGAUACCAGUCACACUGCUGGGUACUGUCGUGUCAUUUCCUUGCGCUUCCCCAUCUGUCCUGUAAGUACUUCUGUCCUCUCCUGUUUAAUGCUUUGAUUUAACCUGGAGACUAGGAUAGGGUGCAAGAGGGGCUUUAGUCAGAGGAACAGUUCCAGUGACAAAACUACUUCUAACGUGGGUCCCUGCAAAAAAAGAGCUAUAUUGGAAAUUACUGUAAAGGGUUGAGUGGAAGAGCGAUGUGAAGGAAAGGGGAACCAAAUCCUAGUCCUGAUGUAGAUUCAUUCUUCUCUCCCACAGUUUCGUAUCCAUUUGUGGUAUGGUUGAUUCUAAACUGUCAAAUGUAAUAUUUAUAAUCUCAAAAUCUGCUCAAAUCAGUAGAUGUUCAGUGCUUAGAAUGCUGUCUCCUAUUUUGCAUGUUCUAACUGUAAUUGGUGUUAAGUUAUUCCUAUUUAUUCUGGAAAUACAAAAUGUGUUACUUUGCUCUUAAUCUGCAUAGACUGAAACCAUCUGCUGUGGUUCACAGUUGAAGAACAAGAGAUUAUACAUUCCAUCUAGUAUUUAUAUCCAGCCUUCAUUAAACAAGUAAUCGUUACUGCUACCAAGUUUUAAGUCAGGGAAGUGUACAGUCAUAAUCUGAACAUUGAAGCACAUGAAUGAUCCAUUCCCUUUUUUAAAAAAAAACCCAACAUUUAAAGACACUUUUGUCUUUUGCUUCUACCUAAUGCUGAGAAGGCAGCUUUUAGUGGCUUAGGUAGAGAAGGAGUGGAGGCUGUUGUCAGAUGAGUCACUGACUUAACUCCAUGCUGAGUAAAAGGUGAUUUGACAAAAGAAGGAAAAUCAUGCUGUACUCAGUUGCGGGAUCAGCUAGUUUGCUUCCAGAAUGGCAGGAAGCAAGAGUCAGCAGGGAUAGCUUUGCAGUGAGAUGACCUAUUUGAGAAAUAAAGGUUUUUUUGCAUUACACAGACAUACUACAAGCCUGCCUGAAUUAAAGCAGAAACAUGAGGCAUCCUGUUUGCCUUCAACCCAGACAUACCACAAGACUGUUUGAUUUAGGAAGUGAAAUAUUGUGUAAUAUUUGUUUGCUUGGCAUAGUUGCACAAAAAUAGUAGAGCUAAGAUAACUGUACCCAGUCUGCAAAAAAAUGGAAAGAAUCAGAUAUCCAGCAUGCAGUCUGCAAAUGGGUAGCACCCACUGAAGAGGCUGGACAGGACCUAUGUGCAGAAGAGUGUAAAAUCUGUCUGACAGGUCAGAACAGACUGGACCUGACCUAGGGGAAGAGGAAGUAAACCUUUGGGCCAGCCUGGGCUUGAUCCAUGGGAAAGCUGUAUGUAAAGACGAGUGAAAUACAGUAGAGCUUGGGGAACUUCCUUUGGUUUUUGCUUGCCCUGCUGGAGAGCUCUCAAAUCCAGCCACCACAGCCUUGGAGGCUAAGAAUCAUCACAUGAUGUAGCCACCAGAAACCACAAUGCAGCAUCUGUCCCACAGUAUUGUAGACCUAAGGCUUCACGUUUAGGUCUGUAUGUUUAAUUAAUGCAUGAUUUUUUGCUUGUUAAAAGAUAGAUUGCCUAAAAGCUGAGCAUAAAUAGGUAACUGCUUGAAUUAUUGACUGGCUCUUCCCCUCAGAACCCUCCCAUUACAAUGGUCCCCAGGUUGCAGCUGCAACAGUGGGUGAAAAGCAGUUUCUGCUACACACACCAGUUUGCCAGGCUUUGCAGGGCUUGAAAAGAAACUCCUGCUGGGAUGAGUAAUACCGCACAGAAGCUGAGGACAAGAACAGGGUAUCUGUGAAUCCAGUGGACCAUGCCUCCUGUGUUGGUAGGUACUGGAGUGCUUUUAAUGCAUGCAUUGAACACCGAGUAUUCUCAUUGGGUUUGGAUAUUCGAAAUAUGUAGACAGAAUUGUAUCUCCCACAUUACCCAUGCCCACUGUCUGUCAUCCUCUAGCAAUCAAAUACUGAUUCAGUCUUGGUCUUAAAUCCAGCUAAAUUACACCAGAGGUGAAUUUGGUCCUCUCUGAUUGGUAAGUAGAUUUUGCUUCUGUCCUAAAUAAACCAGAGAAAGAAAUAAAAGCAGCAAGGCUGAAUGUGUUAGAGCAGAUCUGAAUCCUUCUUUAGCUUUUUUCUGUGAUGCAAGUCUUCACCUCACUAUCUACCCUUAUGUCUCCUAGAAUAUACUUCGAAUGCUGCUGCUGCUGCACUCUUUCUGGAACUGUUUACUCAAAUAAUUUGUUAUAUUUGUGCAACAUUUUACAAACAAGAUAGGUUGAAUUUUUUCCUGUUGCCAUAAUUCAACAGGCUUCACUUAGGUUUGCCUAGAAGGAAUUUGGUCCAGUUAGUUUUGUUUACAGAUUUGUUCAAAAUCAGGAAAUGCUUUUAAACUCUAGGUCUGCACCUAGUUUUCUGGCUGACCUUAGAACUGGAAAAUGCCAAGGCCCAUUUUUUGCUCUUGAAAAAUGGCACUUAUGAAUAAACUUAAGAAUCUUCCAGUUCCUUAUUUUGAGAUUUUAAUUGUAUUUUCUGUAAAAAAAUCUUUCAACCACCAAUCUUUAGACUGUUUCCAAAGAAAAAGUUCUUUCCCCCAUCCUUUUAAGGGAGCAAGUUUCCCCAUAAUUACCCUGGUCUGACUUUCUAGAGGAAGCAAUACAGCAAGAUCUAAUCUGCUGAAAGGGGGAACCACAGAGCUUCUGAUUCUGAUGGAUUUAAUCUACAGUCUGUUUGAAGAGACUGAACCUUUGGCUGUCUUUAAAUAUACAGCAUGUAUUUCGUGUCAUAUAAAAGAUUUUAGCAUAAGGGGAUGAUACAAGGCAGUGUUGUGACCCUGUGAGCAGCCCAGAGAGAUUUGAAGAGCAUAAGGCAGAGCUCCUCAGUGACAGGGACCCUCAGAACUGGGUAGGUGUAAAAUUAUCUUACAUCUAAAGAUCUUGUAAGAUGAUUCAAGCACAGCACAGAAUCUCACCUCGGCGCUUUGUAUCACUGUACUCCCCAUAUGUAAUUAUGAAUAUAACACUUCUCCCUCAGUCUGGAAAGGCCUGAGAUAAUGAGCUUAUCCUCACAGCAUCUUUAUGCCUGGAUGAACGCUAGUUUGGUUCUGAAGGUCUUAGCCUUUAUAGCUGGGCCUUACAGCUGCUGUAAUCACCUGACUUCAGAGAAGUUCUAAGAAAUAAUUUCAGGUCCUGUUACCAUAUAUAAGUAUAAAGCAUAUAUAUGCAAAGAACAUAUGUAAGUCUGUUUGGUUAGGCAGCCAUCCUUACUGAUUUAGAAGUGUGAAACUUCUCCCCUCAUGUGUAAUACCACAGCAUCAUACUUGCAUUCAGCAAUAUUCUGCUGGUUCAAAACAAACAAAAAGAGACACCUUUUCAAGCAAUGCGUACUUAAAUGUGGAACUUACUGCCAUGCAGAGCGAUCAAGGCCAAACCAUAUGCAUGUUGAGAAUAUGGAAAUAAGACAAAUCCAUUAACACCACCACCACCCCAAAAAAAACCCAAACGAAAAAAAAACAGCAAACAAAAACCCACCAAAGCACAAAUACCACCUCUAGGCAAGUGCCUGAGCUUCAGGCUGGUGGGAGCUGGAAGAAUUUGCCAUCAGUAUUCGUUUGCCCUGUUACCAUGUGCCCCAUGCUCUACUGUGGGCCACUGCUGGACUGGGUGGACCUUCAGUGUGACCUCUCGCAGCCACUUCCAUCUCCGCAUGUCACUGUUAACACACAAGCGCGGAACAGGGGCUUAUGGCGAUGCUAUGUUUUCACAGGCAAAAUCGCAAACACCACGUCCGGGUGAGGAUGUUUUUCAGAUGUUCAGUUCACUGAAAACAACGCAAGAGGGAAAUUUUUUGAAGCCUUAAGGUUAGUAUUUGUUAAGCGACGAGGUUCGAGUCCUGCAGAACGCUGUCCUGCGGCAGUCUCGGCCGCCUUUAUGCGGUGAGCACUGUAUUUACAACAAGGUUCAAUCAACAGCACCAUCAGAGCUCCCCCGCGAAGGUAUGGCCGAUCUCGUUACCACGAAGCGAAAGGAUGACGUAAAGAGCAGGCUUUAGCGUCAGAGAGGGACAGCCACUGAGCGAACUGCUGGUUGCCGGCACAGGCAGUGCCUUGUCCUGCCCCCACCCCGCCAGCCCCCCGCAUUGCCACGCCGCAGCCGCAGCGCUGCCCUUGCGGAUGGUACCGAGCAGCCCGGCAGCCCCACGUGGUUUAGCCCGGUGGUUUAGCGCCGCCCAGCGGCCGGCGGUGGCCACUGCGGGGGCUGAGCGGGGGCUUCCGCUGGAGCCCGGUGCCAGCGUUGAAGCGGAGCUGCCGCCGCGCGCGCCUGUGGCGAGGGACUGCACCGGCCUGGUCUGUGGGACAGCUGCUGCGGCUGUCUGAGUGAACGUGAGCCUUAACGCCUCAGGGGAGUAGAGGAAGAACCAGCCCUACGUAAAUACCUGCAGAAUCAAAACAUACUGGGUUGGUAGAGCCGACUUCGGUGAUAGUAGCAUUUUUCAUGAAAUUGGCAAUCAGGUGGUUUGUUAUAUAAGCAUCAAUGAAAAAAUUUAGGAAAUAAAUGGCAGCAUGAAGUGCUAGUCAAAGGGUCCAUCAACAUGAAUCACAGAACGGUCAGGGUUGGAAGGCACCCCUGGAGAUCACCCGGUCCAACCCCCUGCUAAAGCAGGGUCACCUACAGCAGGUUGCACAGGAUCGUGUCCAGGCAGGGUUUGAAUGUCUCCAGAGAAGGAGACUCCACAGCCUCUCUGGGCAGCCUGUGCCACUGCUCUGUCACCCUCAGGGUAAAGAAGUCCUUCCUCAUAUUCAGAUGGAGCUGCCUGUGCUGCAGUUUGUGCCCGUUGCCCCUUGUCCUGUCGCUGGGCACCGCUGAAAAGAGCCUGGCCCCGUCCUCUUGACACUCACACAUGGGAUAUUCGUGUGCAUCUGUAUGCAUUGAUAAGAUGAGUUUGAGAAGACUACUCACAGUAAGUGUGAAUUAUGCCUAUAAUCCUAAAUGAGUGUCAUGGUAUGUUGCAUCGUAUUCUGUUAUGUAUAUGCUGUUUAUAUACUAUAGGAAGAAAAUCCAGUUUCUAUAAAUUUCUAAAUAUCCUAGCUGCGCAGCUGAGAACUACUUAUUUUAAUCUGAAACAUAUUGAAUAGAGGGUCUGGUAGCUGGUACUAUGCAAAAAUUCUGUUUGCAUUCAUCUAUGAUUUUCUUCAGUCAUUUCUGCUUUUGGGUUCAUCAUGGCAUUGUAUAUACCCAUUUUGAACUAUUGGUAAUAAAGUAUUUCCACUUUAA